AGCUUAUCAGCUAUCUCAGUCAUUUUUAGGCUUCUCUGAUCUGGCCCAGUUAGUGGUCUUCUACUCUAUGAGCAGGGACGUGUUGCCAGUGUGUCUGUUCAUCCCUCCGUGGCUCUACAGUCUAACAGAUCAGCCACAGUCCAACAGUCUGUCCCAGCUGGGUCCCAAAUCCUGGCUGUGUCCCACCUCUGACCUCCAGCCUGAUCACAUGACUCAGAGGGCUACUGGUAC